rnacentral:lncRNA from 1 species
CUGGGUCUGUGUCCAGGCCUUGGUGCACACUCACGUAUCCCCCAGCCUCUCCACCCUCUCCACCCUCCCCUCUCUGAAGUGGGCUUGCCGGGAACAAGGUCAUGCUCAUGCACACGUUGCUCUUAGGAAAGUACUUGCCACAUGACAGAUGCUCAGUAAAUGUUAGCUGUAAUUUUUAUUUUUCUAUAAAAGGAAAGGUUUUCCGUGUGGUAAUUUUUCAGCCCUACCCUGAUUGCUAGUCAAGAAAUGGUCAUUUUGUAACUAGUUUGUGCAAGGCAGGAGGUUCUGUACUGUCAGCUACCACGUGGCCUAACCUGAUGUAAAAGUGUUCUUUCAGUGGCUGGUAUUUUCCUGGUGAUUAAUACAUGCUGAGUCCUCCCCUCCCAAUAGGGAU